CAUGGACGUCCGCAGGGGGGGGGCACUUGCCCCCCCCUGGAUUUUUCAGCUUGUUCUGAUAUUUUUCGUGUGAGAUUUAAAAUGAACUGCAAUACCGGCGCCGGCCAGUAGGAGAGAGACAGGGAUAGGAAGCUGCAUCUUAUCCCUGCUUCUCUCUGCUGAUUGAAACCGCAGGGGAACAACACAUGCAGCCAGAGACAGCCUACAGAUCAGGUAAGAGAG
rnacentral:lncRNA from 1 species